CGAACGGUAACAGAAAGCAGCUUGCUGCUUUGCUGACGAGUGGCGGACGGGUGAGUAAUGUCUGGGAAACUGCCCGAUGGAGGGGGAUAACUACUGGAAACGGUAGCUAAUACCGCAUAACGUCGCAAGACCAAAGAGGGGGACCUUCGGGCCUCUUGCCAUCGGAUGUGCCCAGAUGGGAUUAGCUAGUAGGUGGGGUAAAGGCUCACCUAGGCGACGAUCCCUAGCUGGUCUGAGAGGAUGACCAGCCACACUGGAACUGAGACACGGUCCAGACUCCUACGGGAGGCAGCAGUGGGGAAUAUUGCACAAUGGGCGCAAGCCUGAUGCAGCCAUGCCGCGUGUAUGAAGAAGGCCUUCGGGUUGUAAAGUACUUUCAGCGGGGAGGAAGGGAGUAAAGUUAAUACCUUUGCUCAUUGACGUUACCCGCAGAAGAAGCACCGGCUAACUCCGUGCCAGCAGCCGCGGUAAUACGGAGGGUGCAAGCGUUAAUCGGAAUUACUGGGCGUAAAGCGCACGCAGGCGGUUUGUUAAGUCAGAUGUGAAAUCCCCGGGCUCAACCUGGGAACUGCAUCUGAUACUGGCAAGCUUGAGUCUCGUAGAGGGGGGUAGAAUUCCAGGUGUAGCGGUGAAAUGCGUAGAGAUCUGGAGGAA
rnacentral:rRNA from 1 species